rnacentral:lncRNA from 1 species
CAGAAGUCAGGUCGGAUUAAGCCAUAGUACGGAAAAAACUAUGCUACCUGUGAGCCCCGUCCAAGGACGUUAAAAGAAGUCAGGCCAUCACAAGUGCCAUAGCUUGAGUAAACUAUGCAGCCUGUAGCUCCACCUGAGAAGGUGUAAAAAAUCUGGGAGGCCACAAACCAUGGAAGCUGUACGCAUGGCGUAGUGGACUAGCGGUUAGAGGAGACCCCUCCCUUACAAAUCGCAGCAACAAUGGGGGCCCAAGGCGAGAUGAAGCUGUAGUCUCGCUGGAAGGACUNNAGGUUNNNNGAGACCCCCC